rnacentral:rRNA from 1 species
UGGUGUCAGCCGCCGCGGUAAAACCAGCACCUCAAGUGGUCAGGAUGAUUAUUGGGUCUAAAGCAUCCGUAGCCGGCUCUGUAAGUUUUCGGUUAAAUCUGUACGCUUAACGUACAGGCUGCCGGGAAUACUGCAGAGCUAGGGAGUGGGAGAGGUAGACGGUACUCGGUAGGAAGUGGUAAAAUGCUUUGAUCUAUCGAUGACCACCUGUAGCGAAGGCGGUCUACCAGAACACGUCCGACGGUGAGGGAUGAAAGCUGGGGGAGCAAACCGGAUUAGAUACCCGGGUAGUCCCAGCUGUAAACUAUGCAAACUCAGUGAUGCAUUGGCUUGUGGCCAAUGCAGUGCUGCAGGGAAGCCGUUAAGUUUGCCGCCUGGGAAGUACGUACGCAAGUAUGAAACUUAAAGGAAUUGGCGGGGGAGCACCACAAGGGGUGAAGCCUGCGGUUC